UCUUCCUUUUUUAUCUUACUGGAUAUCUCUAGUCAGAUAAAGCUUAAUCUUUGGUCACAAGCUAAACAAUCUUGGCAAACCAUAUAUGCCAUACCCGAUGAUCCCUGCAUUCCUCCUGCUACUUGUGGACCUUACACGGUCUGCAAUGGCAAUGCACAUCCAUCAUGUGACUGUAUGAAGAGCUUCUCUCAGAAGUCACUGCAGGAUUGGGAAUUUGAGGACAGAACAGAAGGAUGCAUCAGAAAUAGACCAUUGCAUUGCACUAGUGACAGAAACAUCACAAGUUCAACGGACAUGUUCCAUCCCAUUUCUCAAGUUACAUUGCCCUACAACCCGCAGAGCAUAGUCGUUGCUUCUACUCAGAGCAAAUGUGAAGAAGCUUGUCUCAGUUCCUGCUCCUGCACUGCUUAUUCAUAUAACAAUAGCAGAUGCUAUGUCUGGAAUGGGGAAUUGCUUAGUGUAAAUCUUAACAACGGCAUUACUAUCACUUCUGAAGAUGUUCUUUAUCUCCGUCUUUCUGCCAAAGAUUUCUUGCCAAGUUUGAGAAAAAACAAAAGAAAACCAAACGUUGGAGUUGUUAUUGCCACAAGCAUUACUGGGUUUGGGUUACUCAUUCUCCUGUUCUUGUUACUGAAUUGGAGGAACAAAUUCAUGUGGUGUGGUUUGCUGCCAUUAUACUAUGACAAUCAAGGUAGUGUUGGCGGGAUUAUAGCCUUCAAAUAUACUGAUUUAGUUCGUGCUACUAAAAACUUCUAUGAAAAGUUAGGUGUUGGAAGUUUUGGUUCUGUAUACAAGGGAGUGUUAAGUGACUCGAAGACUAUUGUAGCAGUGAAAAGGCUAGAUGGUGCCCGUCAAGGAGAGAAGCAAUUCAGGGCUGAG
rnacentral:rRNA from 1 species